rnacentral:tRNA from 1 species
GCCGAGGUAGCUCAGCUGGUAGAGCAUGCGACUGAAAAUCGUAGGGUCACGUGUUCGAGUCACGUCCUCGGCACCA